UACAUUUAUAUCUUUGUAAAAUGAAAACAACAAUAAACAAUACUUGGUGGUGGAACAAUUUACGUCAAUAGUCGUGAACUAAGCUCCUAUAGUAUUAUCAUAUAUAAAUAUAAAAGGCUUGUC
rfam:Flavobacterium frigoris PS1 66_18, whole genome shotgun sequence.